GGGGAAGCCCUGCGGUUGGAAAUGAUGCAGGAUGAUGAACCUCCAUCUCUCGUCCCCCAGAAACAAGCCUAAAAAUUCCUUGGGUGAGGCAGCUACAGAAAAACUUGGGAUCCCUGAAUUCUCUCAGCUGCAAAAACGCCUGCUCGCUAACCCAGAAGGUGAAUGCGAAAACCCUUCGGAAGUAGAUUAGACAUCAGGACAUCCGUGGCUCAGGCAAACCCCAAGAAAGAAAGAGAGAGAGACAGAGAGAAAGAAAAAAAAAAGUUUUCCGAACACGUUUGGCCUCGCUCGUCACUCUCAUCUGCAAGGAGGUUCAACUUUCACUUUUUAAUGUGUAGCUUCUAGUUCUCUGCUUAUUUCCUCAAACUGCCAGCUGCUCAUCAUAGCCUGCACAUGUCCGGAACAUACAUGUAUCUCUUGCUGCAGUGAUGGGGAUUGAACCCAGCAUCUUGCACGUGGUAGGUAAGGUGCCACUCUAGCCUGGGCUGACCUGGAAUUCACUCACCUGGAACUCACUCUGUAGCCCAUGCUGGUGGCAAACUCACAGCAAUCCUCUCACCCCAGCCUCCGGAGUGUUGGAUUAUGGAAGUGAGCAGCCACACCCUCAUUAAAUAAACACUUGUGCUCUUUCA